GCUUUCGUGUGGCUCAAGUGCUAAAGCAUUGUGCUAACAACGGAAAGGUCAUGGGUUCAAAUCCCAGGGAGAGCA